UUAAAACCUUCCAAAAAUGUUUUUGUAGAGCAAAUGCCAAGGUUGUAGUUAAAGAAAUUGCUGAUAGUAGUGUUAUGACUGACGAAAUGUGAAGAUAACCAACACAAAUGCAACAGUAACGUCCAUCAAACCAUCUCGGUCUGGGAUUAAGGGCCGUGAAAAAGCUGAUCCUUGCAGUACCGAUGUGGACCAGCGGUUGAGCGUUGUAUUGCGGUACAGGCGGCCUGUGUUUGAGUCCCAUAACUCAAACAAGGCAGGCAGUAGGACCCAGAUGUGCCUGGACUGCAGAAAAGCUCGUUGAAAAAAAAAAAGAAAAUGUCCCUCCACAC